rnacentral:lncRNA from 1 species
UCCCCUUUUUUCUUUUUUUGAAUUUCUUUUUCCCAAAAAGCUUAAAUGCCAUCUUUUAAGCCCUUGCAAACUUUUUCAGGAGUUGAAGUAAAAAGAAGAAUUUUUCCCCAAAAAAUUCUCUAUAAUUUUGCUUUAAGAUGCAAGUUCAAAUUCCAAACAGAAUUUGAAUCACAAAUUAAAACUAGUUCUAGGCUUUUAAAUAAAUUUAUUUUGGGAUUGUGUAUAAAAUUCAUUUCUCAAAUUCCAGAGAUCCAAAAAUAUCACAAAAAUAUUCUUAAAUCUUCUAAAACACAUUUCAACCUACUUUGGUC